UCCCUACUCCCAACCCAACAACCUCUGCUGCCUGUAGCAGCUAUAUAAACAGUAGUGUGUACAGCAAAUGUGCUUGUCACCUUUGCGGGGCUAUGUGGUGGCCCCCAGAGUGAACUGGGAAAUUCUACAGUC